rnacentral:rRNA from 1 species
CGAGUGAAGCGGGAAGAGCUCAAAUUUAAAAUCUGGCAGUUUUACUGUCCGAGUUGUAAUUUAGAGAAGCAUUUUCUGUGCUAGACUGUGUACAAGUCUCCUGGGAUGGAGCGUCAUAGAGGGUGAGAAUCCCGUCUUUGACACAGACUACUAGUGCUCUGUGAUAUGCUCUCAAAGAGUCGAGUUGUUUGGGAAUGCAGCUCAAAAUGGGUGGUGAACUCCAUCUAAAGCUAAAUAUUGGCGAGAGACCGAUAGCGAACAAGUACCGUGAGGGAAAGAUGAAAAGCACUUUGGAAAGAGAGUGAAACAGUACGUGAAAUUGCUGAAAGGGAAACGCUUGAAGUCAGUCGCAUUUGCUAGAAUUCAGCCUUGUGGUGUACUUUCUAGUAAAUGGGCCAGCAUCAUUUUUGAUCAUUGGAAAAAGGCAGAGGAAAAGUGGCACUACUUGUAGUGUGUUAUAGUCCUUUGUCAAAUACAGUGGUUAAGAGUGAGGAAUGCCAUU